rnacentral:sRNA from 2 species
UCCUAGCCCAGAUGGAAGCGGCAUCCUUUAGGGUCCUGAUUUUUUUCAGGAUCCUAAAGAUAUAGCGUACAGCUGGAGAAAGC